CGAGCCGAGUUCGAGUUGACCCUAGCUUGAUUCGGUUCACGAAUGUCCCUACAUCCCACCCGGCCACCAGUGUUCUAAAACUCCUAAGGCCAUCACUAUAGACAUUUAAUCUGUAGUGGAGUUUGCUACAGAUCCUAGCUUCAUCUUUGUAGGUGUAUAAAUAUGUAGGUGUUGACCAAAAAAGUUGACUUAAUGAUUUCAUGUAUGUAAUGUUUGCAGAAGUUGAAGACGCUAAGGGUUGCUAUGGAUUCAGCUGCACCUGUGAUGAUGGCAGCUCAAGCGGCGGCAACCACUAAAUGGCACCAUGCGACAAGUAUUCUAGGCCAAACUACUAAUUAUGGUUUCAUGAACAACAAACCAAACUGGCUUGGUAUGGUUAGGUCAAACAUCCAAUUUUAAUGAUGUGACAAUUUUGGUUUUAGCA